rnacentral:rRNA from 1 species
GACGAACGCUGGCGGCGUGCCUAAUACAUGCAAGUAGAACGCUGAAGGAGGAGCUUGCUUCUCUGGAUGAGUUGCGAACGGGUGAGUAACGCGUAGGUAACCUGCCUGGUAGCGGGGGAUAACUAUUGGAAACGAUAGCCAAUACCGCAUAACAGUAGAUGUUGCAUGACAUUUGCUUAAAAGGUGCAAUUGCAUCACUACCAGAUGGACCUGCGUUGUAUUAGCUAGUUGGUGGGGUAACGGCUCACCAAGGCGACGAUACAUAGCCGACCUGAGAGGGUGAUCGGCCACACUGGGACUGAGACACGGCCCAGACUCCUACGGGAGGCAGCAGUAGGGAAUCUUCGGCAAUGGACGGAAGUCUGACCGAGCAACGCCGCGUGAGUGAAGAAGGUUUUCGGAUCGUAAAGCUCUGUUGUAAGAGAAGAACGGGUGUGAGAGUGGAAAGUUCACACUGUGACGGUAUCUUACCAGAAAGGGACGGCUAACUACGUGCCAGCAGCCGCGGUAAUACGUAGGUCCCGAGCGUUGUCCGGAUUUAUUGGGCGUAAAGCGAGCGCAGGCGGUUAGAUAAGUCUGAAGUUAAAGGCUGUGGCUUAACCAUAGUACGCUUUGGAAACUGUUUAACUUGAGUGCAAGAGGGGAGAGUGGAAUUCCAUGUGUAGCGGUGAAAUGCGUAGAUAUAUGGAGGAACACCGGUGGCGAAAGCGGCUCUCUGGCUUGUAACUGACGCUGAGGCUCGAAAGCGUGGGGAGCAAACAGG